rnacentral:lncRNA from 1 species
CUCGCAAGCAGAAUUCCCUUCAGACGCUUCCCAACCACGACAGAAUUCACAACACAGAGAACUUGAGUAUCAACAUGUGGUCGAGGCUCACCCUGUGCACCGGAGUCCUGCUGGCUGCCCUGUUCCUUGUGGCGAUUUACUCUCCUGCUGCUGCCACGCCCCUCCCAGACCAGAGCUGCUGCCCCGACCAUCCCUGGUGCUGUGUGCAGACGACGACACUCGAUCCCUGCGCCCUGAUAUUCCCCGACUGUCUCGCAAAUCCAUAUCACAAAUGUUGUCCUAGGUAUGGCUGACAGACCUGCCCCCGGUUGGCAGGUCUUGUUCAACAUAGAUCAUGUCGGUCAAGACGCAAAGAAAUGGAAAUGUAAAA